rnacentral:rRNA from 1 species
GACGAACGCUGGCGGCGUGCUUAACACAUGCCAGUCGAACGGAAAGGCCCCUUUGGGGGUCCUCGAGUGGCGAACGGGUGAGUAACACGUGAGUAACCUGCCCUUGACUUCGGGAUAACUUCAGGAAACUGGGGCUAAUACCGGAUAGGAAUCCUUGCUGCAUGGUGGGGGUUGGAAAGCUUCGGCGGUUUUGGAUGGACUCGCGGCUUAUCAGCUUGUUGGUGGGGUAGUGGCUUACCAAGGCUUUGACGGGUAGCCGGCCUGAGAGGGCGACCGGCCACAUUGGGACUGAGAUACGGCCCAGACUCCUACGGGAGGCAGCAGUGGGGAAUAUUGCACAAUGGGCGGAAGCCUGAUGCAGCAACGCCGCGUGCGGGAGGACGGCCUUCGGGUUGUAAACCGCUUUCAGCAGGGGCGAAGCUUGUGGUGACGGUACCUUCAGAAGAAGCACCGGCUAACUACGUG